AUGGUUGGAUCGAAGAGAGAUAGGAGGGUGUAUCACGCGUUGGAAAGAGAGAAGGGGAAAUAUUAUUUGUCAUGGUCACUUUCAUGUAAAUUCUUCUUUGGGUGUAUUGUGGUGCAGAUUUACAUCAAAGCAGUAGCAGGGUGCAGCAGCAUGUCUUCACAGGUUUUGGGCAGCAUUCCAACAUACUUUUGGAGCAAUAGUGCAGCAUACUUUUGGCAUUAUUUGGGCAGAAUUUCGGAUCAAGAACAAGCCUUAGCUUUAGGUUUAGAUUUUUGUUUUCUUGUACAAACACUUGUAUAA
rnacentral:lncRNA from 1 species